AACGAACGCUGGCGGCAUGCCUAACACAUGCAAGUCGAACGAAGGCUUCGGCCUUAGUGGCGCACGGGUGCGUAACGCGUGGGAAUCUGCCCUUUGCUUCGGAAUAACAGUUAGAAAUGACUGCUAAUACCGGAUGAUGUCGCAAGACCAAAGAUUUAUCGGCAAAGGAUGAGCCCGCGUAGGAUUAGCUAGUUGGUGGGGUAAAGGCCUACCAAGGCGACGAUCCUUAGCUGGUCUGAGAGGAUGAUCAGCCACACUGGGACUGAGACACGGCCCAGACUCCUACGGGAGGCAGCAGUGGAGAAUAUUGGACAAUGGGCGAAAGCCUGAUCCAGCAAUGCCGCGUGAGUGAUGAAGGCCUUAGGGUUGUAAAGCUCUUUUACCCGGGAUGAUAAUGACAGUACCGGGAGAAUAAGCUCCGGCUAACUCCGUG
rnacentral:rRNA from 1 species